rnacentral:rRNA from 1 species
UACGUAGGGUGCAAGCGUUAAUCGGAAUUACUGGGCGUAAAGCGUGCGCAGGCGGUUAUGUAAGACAGAUGUGAAAUCCCCGGGCUUAACCUGGGAACUGCAUUUGUGACUGCAUAGCUAGAGUACGGUAGAGGGGGAUGGAAUUCCGCGUGUAGCAGUGAAAUGCGUAGAUAUGCGGAGGAACACCGAUGGCGAAGGCAGUCCCCUGGACCUGUACUGACGCUCAUGCACGAAAGCGUGGGGAGCAAACAGG